rnacentral:rRNA from 1 species
GCCAGACUCCUACGGGAGGCAGCAGUGGGGGAUAUUGCACAAUGGGGGGAACCCUGAUGCAGCGACGCCGCGUGGGUGAAGGAGCGUUUCGGCGCGUAAAGCCCUAUCGGCAGGGAAGAAGGAGGACGGUACCUGACUAAGAAGCCCCGGCUAACUACGUGCCAGCAGCUGCGGUAAUACGUAGGGGGCAAGCGUUAUCCGGAUUUACUGGGUGUAAAGGGGGCGCAGACGGCAGCGCAAGCCAGGAGUGAAAGCCCGGGGCCCAACCCCGGGACUGCUCUUGGAACUGCGCGGCUGGAGUGCAGGAGGGGCAGGCGGAAUUCCUGGUGUAGCGGUGAAAUGCGUAGAUAUCAGGAGGAACACCGGUGGCGAAGGCGGCCUGCUGGACUGCGACUGACGUUGAGGCCCGAAAGCGUGGGGAGCAAACAGGAUUAGAUACCCGCGUAU